CGCUGCCGGCAGCCAGGUCCCUGGCGCUGCGCGGCCUUUGUUCCCGGCUGACAGCUGUGGCCCAGUGGACCUCCCCGCCCACGAGCGCUCCGGCCCAGCGGCCCGGCUGCCCGGCUGCCCGGCUGCCCCAUCUCUCCACGCUGGCUUCGCUCAGACCCCGCCCGGCGGCCCUGCGUGCUGAAUUCCAUCUCCCCACCCCCUGCGCUCGCUCGGAAAGGCUGGGCUUCUCGGGUCUAGGACCUAGGUGGGGGGUUUCUUCCCCACGUCGGGGACCCCGGCACUCCUGUCCCCGGUUUCAAAUCAACUUUUCCACCUCUGUCACAGGGGCAGAGUUUCAGGAGAUCCUUGCUGCCUUCUGGACCGGACCCCGAACCUUCAGUUCCAGGCCUCCUGGAAGGCAGUGCAGCAAAGGGUUUAAAAACACAGAAAGGUGGCAGGAGACUGAAUGAACCGCUGCAAAUAUAAGGGUCUCACUGUGUAGUUCAGGCUGGCCUUGGACUCACUGCAUAGCCCAGGUGGGCCUCGAUCUCUUGGGAAUCCUCCUGCUUCAGCCUCCUGAGUGCUGGGAUUACAGGCAUACACCACCAUGCCCGGCUCAAUUUGUGAAUUUUUUAACGGAGUUUUCUGUUUAAUAUUCUUGAAUAUCAGUUGACUUUGGGUAACUGAAACUGCAGAAAAUGAGAGGGAAAAUGUGAGGGACAAAAAUAUUUGGCUGCAUGAUCGAUAUACCCUUAUUGUCUACUCUGUGAUUUUUAAACUAUGGGGAUUUGUUAAAAAUGCAAAGUCUCUGUAACACCUCCAAGCUACAGAAUCCAAAACUCAGGGUGGGACCCAACCAUCUGUGUUUUAGCAGGCACUCUAGGUGGUUUUCAUGCCUCUCAAUUUGGAGAUUCCUUGCCUUCAAUUUGAGAAACCAAGGUUAUUUUUACUUCUUACACGUGACUAACCAAGGUAAAGGGCAAGUGACGUGCGUUCUAAAAGUUUAGAAUAGCAAAUGACACAAUUUUGUAUAUGUAAAUGUUUCUGUAUUUUAUAUAUAAACUUCAUAUGUGUAUAUGUACUUAUGUAUUACAUACUGUAUGCAUAAACAUGUGAAUAUACCUUGUAAACUACCAUGCAAUUUAAAGAUUCUGUUCUUUUGAGAGUUUCUUUUCUGCUUUGCACUCAGAACUAAUUAAUCAAGGGACAAAGAACCAG
rnacentral:lncRNA from 1 species